GACGAACGCUGGCGGCGUGCUUAACACAUGCAAGUCGAACGAUGAAACUCUUCGGAGUGGAUUAGUGGCGAACGGGUGAGUAGCACGUGGGCAAUCUGCCCUGUACUUUGGGAUAAGCCUUGGAAACGGGGUCGUAAUACCGGAUAUCACUUCUCUGGGCGAUCCAGGGUUGGUUGAAAGUUACUUGGCGGUACAGGAUGAGCCCGCCGGCCUAUCAGCUUGUU
rnacentral:rRNA from 1 species